GGGGAAUAUUGCACAAUGGGCGCAAGCCUGAUGCAGCGACGCCGCGUGAGGGAUGACGGCCUUCGGGUUGUAAACCUCUUUCAGCAGGGAAGAAGCGCAAGUGACGGUACCUGCAGAAGAAGCGCCGGCUAACUACGUGCCAGCAGCCGCGGUAAUACGUAGGGCGCAAGCGUUGUCCGGAAUUAUUGGGCGUAAAGAGCUCGUAGGCGGUUUGUCGCGUCUGCUGUGAAAACGCGAGGCUCAACCUCGCGCCUGCAGUGGGUACGGGCAGGCUAAAGUGCGGUAGGGGAGACUGGAAUUCCUGCUGUAGCGGUGGAAUGCGCAGAUAUCAGGAGGAACACCGGUGGCGAAGGCGGGUCUCUGGGCCGUAACUGACGCUGAGGAGCGAAAGCAUGGGGAGCGAACA
rnacentral:rRNA from 1 species